rnacentral:rRNA from 1 species
AUUGAACGCUGGCGGCAGGCUUAACACAUGCAAGUCGAGCGGGGGAAGGUAGCUUGCUACCGGACCUGGCGGCGGACGGGUGAGUAAUGCUUAGGAAUCUGCCAAUUAGUGGGGGACAACAUCUCGAAAGGGAUGCUAAUACCACAUACGUCCUACGGGAGAAAGCAGGGGAUCUUUGGACCUUGCGCUAAUAGAUGAGCCUAAGUCGGAUUAGCUAGUUGGUGGGGUAAAGGCCUACCAAGGCGACGAUCUGUAGCGGGUCUGAGAGGAUGAUCCGCCACACUGGGACUGAGACACGGCCCAGACUCCUACGGGAGGUAGCAGUGGGGAAUAUUGGACAAUGGGGGGAACCCUGAUCCAGCCAUGCCGCGUGUGUGAAGAAGGCCUUAUGGUUGUAAAGCACUUUAAGCGAGGAGGAGGCUACUUUAGUUAAUACCUAGAGAUAGUGGACGUUACUCGCAGAAUAAGCACCGGCUAACUCUGUGCCAGCCGCCGCCGUAA